ACCUCUGCAGGUUUUGCCUUCAUUUAUGGAGCAAACUGACCUGAGCUGAGCACUAGGUCAGGCAUGGAAGUCUAAAACAUACAGAGCUGAACACUUUAAACCAGAGCAAAGUGAAUGUCGUUACCUUACAUGCCUACAGGAGACUUCGGUGAGAUUACUUGCUGCUCCAUGCCUUCCUUGCCAAGCUUAGUCCUUCAGUCCUUCUACUCCAAGAAAAUCUUUCCCCCUUAGCAAAAUCUUGUCCUCUGCUUGCAGAGUGUAAAGCCUGGGUCUAAAAGAACCUUUUAGAAAGGGAAGCUGUUAUAAGAUAGUUGUGCUACAGGGCUGCAGUCUUUUUCUCUCAGAUGGGGGAUUUCAACCAGGGAGGUUUGCUGCGGCAGGGAUGAGCUCUAACCCAUUUGCUGAAGCGCAUUAUAACACUGCAGUGAUGUGUCCCUCACUCCUAUUCAUCUAGCAGCUCUGCGGGCUCAGCCUCUCCAGCCCUAUUGCUCUGAAAACGCUGCUGGUGGCAGGCAGGAAUGUCAGAGCCAUUCUUCCCCACUUGCUCUCUCUUUGGUUGGGAACUUUGUUUUCCAGGCUGGCAGCCAGGCUGGAAAAGCACCAACAGCAGCUCUGGAGCCCAGCACAGGCAUCCCCAGUUGGGCAGGGGGAAUGGUGCCCGCAAUGGUGCGGGACAGAGCUGUGCUGGCAGCUCCUGGUAGCUCCGCACCUCUGUGCCCGCAGCUUCUCCUACAGCCUUGUGAGAACCACACACUGUCAUGCUUGUGGACAAGGGCCCUUCCCAUGAACGGCCUGUGGUGCUUUGAAACCUCUGUGUCACUGUGGUGGCAAGGAGUACAAGUAAGGGUUGAUCAACUGGUAUGUGGGCAAGACCCAUAGGAAUUAGGAGAAAAGGCAGGAGCAAAUCCCACAGCAAUUCCUUCUCUCUUUCUCUCCCUUCCUUUAGGUUUUUCUCACACAGAACCCCAUCCAUGCAAAGGAAAUGCUUGUUUUCACUGGGUGCAGAAGGCACGAGAAAGGUCAAAUCAAACAAGUGGUUACAAAGCAUCACUGAUUUGGCAGCACCCAGACUCCCCCAGCAAGCCAAGUGCAGCUUGGGGUUUUCAAACAACGAUGUUGUAAUGCUCUCCUUUUGCCUUUGCAGGGCUGUAGAAGAAUGUUCCAGCUACCCAAUAAUUUUAAAAAAUGCCUGCUAGUUGUUUGCUCUUCAAGCAUUCCUGCUGGUUCCCAGUAGUUAACACACAGGAAAUUCCACAGGAACUAAGGGAGAGAGUGGCUGAGAGAAGCAGAAUAAAUUAGGAUCAUAAUUUCACCCUGAUUCAUGCCGGGGGUGGUCCAAUAGUUUUACAUGGGUGCCGGUCCUGGGGGUGUGCAUUCAGACAUUGGCCAAGGAGCUGCACCUCAGCUCUGAAGCCACUGCUUGCUUUGGUGGGGCCUGAGAGAUGGGACCGGUGAGAAACGUGACUGGACGAAGGAGUCCAGUCCUGUAGAGUCCUGUAGGAGUCCUGUAGACUCCUGUGCCGGCAGGCAGCGAGGCCUGGUUGGUGCAUGGCCUGCUGCUGGUGGCCUGUGGUGGGCUACUGCUGACUUGAUGACUAUGUCAUCUAUCUCUGUUCAGAGGAGGCUUUGGCCUCAAGAGGAGCAGCCUGCUUCGCAAGGAAGUCCCUAGUUUCAUCCCUAGGUAAAGCAUGCCUUUUCCUUCCUUUGAAUGCUUUUCAGGCUCAGUUUUUAAAAGGUAAAUGCCUAUAUGUUCUUCUUUAGAUGGUCUCUUUUUUCCCAUCUGAGAACUCAAAUAGCUUGCUCCCCACGCAAGGGCCUUUGUGUUCUUGCUCUGUGCAAAGCCAAGGAGGUUCCUGACAGGUCCUGCAUGGCUCAUGCCACUUGAGGGCAGUGGUUGCAUGCCCAGAGCCUGGUUGCUCUUUGAGGAUAAAAGACCUCAUAAAACAACAAAGUCUCACCGUAAGUGCCAUAGUUUACAUCGUUUUUGUUAAGUCAGAUAUACGGCCAAAAUUUGGAGAUAUGAUCUUAUGCAAAAGGCAUCACAAGAUGCUUAAUAAACAUGAGGCAUUAAGGGAGAUACUAAAAAAAAAAGCUAUCGUAUAAGUUUGCAGACUUCCUUUUGGAUUCGAAAUGGGCUGUGUUGUGGGCUUUUUUUUUUUUUAAGACACCAAAGGAGCAGUGCUUCAUGCUUUCAUAAUGCAGCUUCAUAGAUUCACUGGAUAAAUAUGAAAUGGCUCAUUCGCCCCUUUCACUGGUGGGGAGCUGAGGUUCGGUUUGCAGCUGGGACUGUCAUCUUUUCUGUGUCUUUGUAUAAUAUAACAUUAACUUGAGCUCAGCCCGGUGGUUGCCCAUGGGCCAUACUUCAGAAGACACACCUGAUAGGAGCAGCAGUGACUUGAUUUGUGUCAGGUUUCACACUGUACUGACCCACAAUCCAAGACCUUGGUAUCUGGUACCCAUAUUUCGCUCAGGCAAUGUUUUCUCACUGUAGAGUUACGUGCUUGGCUAAUCAAUAUGCUCACUUCUGUGUGACUUUGAGGCAAUUUGCCCACCACAGCUCUGCCCACAUAGUAUGCACUGUCUUGGAGUGGCUGUCAGGGGGUUAAAAAGAGAGGGUUUCUGCAGGGACAAUCACAACUUGUCCCAGCUGUGGCUCUCCCAUGCCACAGUUUUGGUCCUAUCCAUUCUUUUUUUUUUUUUUUUCCCACUUUUGUCACCACCUGAGAAUGCAACCCACUUAAAUGGAAUUUCCUCCAAUUAAAAUCUAGGUCUUGUCUGCCCUGUCAUGGGAAAAGUUGUGUGUUUGGGGUGGUGGUUAGAUCUGCUUGUGUCUGAGCUCCCUACAAAAUGGUCAGAAAUGAGAACAAAUUGAACGGGCUUGUCUUGAGAUGCAAACCACUCACCGCCAGGCGUGGAGUAGUCUGGGCACAAGCUGCCACGUACCGUUGGCCAGGGCAGACUGAUGCCACGGUGAUGGCCACACUCCCCUCUCCUCACCCCCAUGCUGGGUGCCAUCAUCUUGCCAUACCAGCUCCAUGUCGGGGAUGGCUACCCGCUGUGUCAUGGGGAAGCGGCACAUCUGGAGUGGGACAGGGCAAGGGGGGCUGGAGAGGCUCCCCCAGCUCUGCACAGCCCCAUUGGCUCCCUGCAGUGGGAAUUGAAGUGCUCCCCUCUUAGUGGUUCUGAGCCCAGACAGGAACCAAAGUUGGUUUUGUUUAUUCAGAUCCCAUUUAGCAUCCAUCAGGCUUAAAAAUCCCAUGACUGCCCUCUGAUACGAUUUUGUUUGAUAGGAAAAUAAUUAAUUUUGCAAUUAAGCUGUGCCUAGAACAAAUGAUGUAAGAGCACUCUGUAUGGGCUAAAUUAGUGCCUGCUGAGACACAGCGCCAGCAUCUGUCUGGUUUAGUGACACUUAUUUUUAACAGCCAGAGGAGGGCAUAGUGCACCCUAUUGUAAUGGCUUCCCUUUACUGAUGGCUUCGUCUCAGAUAGAGACCCAGAGAGGACACAGCAGUGCCAGCUGGAGUACGCUCUGGUGAGAAGCCUUCUUGGCACAAACUUGGGAGAGCUGAUCUGGGCAGCAGAAGGUUCCCUAGUCCCUUGUCCAGAUUCCAGCUGUGGAUGCCAUACACCUGUGAGAAGGGCACUGCACCUUGAGCUGAGCUUGCACAUGUUAUGAUGGGACCCUGAUUUGGACUGGAGAGGCAGGACAUGCAGAGGUUUUGGUGCUUGCUUGCAAGGAAAGAGAGCUGGACCGGUGGCCUUCCUUACUCCUGUUGCAGGACACAGCAAUUGCAUGCAGACAAGUCAUAGUAUCUGCUUACCAUGACAUGACGCCCACACUUUCAGACUCUACCAGGACUACUUUCUUCUGCUAAGACUUCUCCCCAGUGUUUCAAUGAUACACAAAUGGCAUCUAACCCAAGCAUUACAGUGACAGCCAUACAAACACCAAUCAUAGUGGCUCAUUCACACGCUAAUAGACUGGCUGGAGAAGGACUGCCACCUCUCAACGCAGCAUGGUCACACCAGACUUGAGGAAUCCUUGUUGUAAGAAGAAAAGCACAGAAGGUGAUGUGUUUUCGGUCACCUGGUGAUUUACAAGCACUCUUUCUCCACACAUUAUCCCUUCAGUGCAUGGAAGAGGGGAAGGAAGAGUCUGCUCAAUCUGACAGGUUCUCCAGACCAUGUCCUUCUCCUGGCAGCUGUGUGGGGAUGCAUCCCAGCAAUUGGCAAGGCUGCUGCAAGCUGCUCCUAGGAGGUGGGAACAAUCAUCACCUGGAAGCCAGCCCAUCGCAGAUCCACUCUACUCUUGCAGCCCAGGACAGCCCAGUGAUGGAUAAGGCCUUCUAGAUGUUCUUUUAGGCUUUUGCAGGAGCCUCAUGAAGAGACUGCAAGGUCUCAGCAAGAAGACUGAUUCUGCAUCAGAUCCAAGCCUCUGAGAGAGCCUGCAAGCGCUGAGCUACUGCCAACCCACAGGGAAUGAGUCCGGAGGGCACUGUUUGGGUAACAGCAGAACCCAAGGGAGUUUAUUUAGCUGUAGAUGCAAUAUGAAUUGUUCCUGCAGUUUAUUUUUACAUGCUUAGAGGGUGAAUGAGUUUGGAAGAGCUGGAGAGAAUCAGAGAAUUAGCAGAAUGAAUUAUUAUUAUGGGUUAUUUAUACCAAAUGAGAGAAAUAUAUCUCCUGGUGCAACAGUCUAUGUCCAGGGCUAAUGACAAUUGCUGCUUUUGCAGUAAUGCCUACUGGGAAAUACUUAAAAUAAGCUUUUUACCCCAAUAAGGAAGAGACAAAGAUAUGGAAAAGUUCUCCCAGAUGAAGGCAUCAGGAAGAGACGGGUCUGUAGCAAGGAAACAUUCACAAUGGGUGCUGAGGGUCUGGCAAGAGAGGAAUGUGGAGCCCCAGUCCUGGCCAGUCUGGUUCAGAGGACUAAGGUGUACGUGGCUAGUCUGGUUGUGUCAGCUAUCCCACCAGUGCAAGAGAGCCACAACAUUCCCAUGUGCAGACACCUCACCCUCUAGAAACAAGAUGGGACCUAGCGUCAAGGGACCCUGUUUGGAGAUAUGCGAUGGAGAGGAAAUCAACACUGAAAGACUGUGAAAAAUAAAUGCACAAAAAUGAUCUUGGGAUGUCUUUUAGCUUUUGGGAAGAAGAGGGCUAUCCCAAGCAUAUGGGAAACACAGAACAGCUAAAAAGCUUUGGUGAGGGGGUGCACAGGGAAAACUUUAUUCCAUGGUGUGCCUGUUACCUGGCACAGAGGAGGGGAGCAUUUUCUGCAAGGAGCCAGUGACACAGUCAUGUUCACAGCCUUCAGCUGGAGGGCAAGAACACUGUAAGUCACAUCCACACAAAAUUGCCAAACUGUUACUAGAUGCAGUGUUAGGAUUACACCUACUGAGAUGAAAAUUAGACCUACGGAUCCACCUCAGGCAUGCAGUGCAUGAUUACGAGUGUGUCACCUUUUUCCAUAUUAGUGUGCUCCUAACCACACUUGGGGGACAGGAUCUAUAAUCCUCAGCAAUAUAAAUUAAAAUCACUGGUCAAAUUACAGUAAAGUGAAAUUCCCAUACGCUUGCCUUUUCUCUUUCAGUAAGUGUUGUUUUUAGCAUUGCCCCUCAAAGCAGGGGAUUAUUCAAACCAGUUCCUCAUUAUUCAUAUCAGCAUCAAAAUAUGAGGUCUGAAAUGGGUCAGACCAAACCCAGUGUCUGUCCUUACCAAGAGUGGGAAGACUCCAAAGGGAACUGGGUUAUGUGUGAACCCUGUGGUGAUGGUAGUGACAGCUAUGCCAGCCCUAAACACCCUGUUUUUAGGGAACCUUAUGGACAGCUACCACCUGUAUUUGACAGCACACUGGUGCUGGGUAUGCCCAGGUACUUGUGACCUCCUGCAGACUGAAGCGUGCCCUCCAGUCAUGGGGCCAGAGGCCAGGCAGCUGUAUGGCUGGUGAAACCAGUCUGAAGAGAGGCCUGAAGGUGCCAUGGAAAGGCACAGUGAAGGUACUGUGUGUGCAAGUGCUUAUGUACAUAUGCAUCUACAUGUACAUAUGCACCUACAGGCAAUAUCAGUCCCUCCUGUGAUAAAUAGCUCAAAGUUGAGCUAUGUGAAAAUUUGAAUUUAUGCUUGUGUUUUCCAGAACAGAACAAACUGGGGCAAAAAAAUAGGAAAAAUUUGUUUCCUGGAAUUAAAACAGUCAUGUUCAGAAAUGUCUCCAUAUUCUGUUUUGACAUUUUUUGGAUCAAAGUGAAGCACUUUGACGUUUCUGAGUUUUUGUAGGCAGAGCUGCACCCAACACCUGCCACUGAGGUUGCUCAAAUGCCUCCAUGAUAAAGACCUGUGUUCAGCUGUUCUUUGGCGGAUUUUCCCACCUGGAAAGAAAGGCGAGGCUUGCUUCUUGAGGCUGGGUAAACAGAGGAGGCUUGGGAGAGUGCUUGCAGCUGGUGGUGUGGUAUGUCUGGUUGGUAUGGGGAAGCUUCUGGCUCAGCUGCUUCUCUCCUGCUGAGUGAUGGUGUUUUUUGUCAGGAGGUCACGGAGGCUGUUGCUAAAAUUUUUGUGCUCUGUGCCUGUAGUAGCAGGUUGGAAGGACUGUACAAGCAGACUGUGUUGGCUGGGUGAGAAAGCAUGGAAACACGAGCAUGGUGCUGUGCCUGCUGCCUUACUCCCAUGCCCACUUAAGAAUGCCAGCUAGACCCACACCUGCUGCCCAUGCUGGUUGUGGAUCCUGAUCUCUCCCCAGCCUGACCCAGGUGACCUGCCGGAGAGCCAGCCUGCCCCUGCUCCCUCCAGCCCCCAGGAUCUUCAGGCACUGUGAACUGUGAGUGCACAAAAUCCACCAGGACUUGUGCAGCUCCCUCUCCUGAUGCCUGGCCUUUCUCCAGAUGUCUCCAUCUCCUGCUAACAAGCCGAGACUAUCCUAAAGCGGGAUGCAAGGAAAAUGCAGACUGACCGCCUGAGAUCUGCUUCACCGCAAGCACAGCAUGCUCUGGGACAUGUGACACAUUGCCUUGCACACUUGAGAAAUGAGACUUGCAGUCUGAACGGCUUUGGUGUGAGGUGAUGUGUACCUUGGAGAGCUGUUGGGCUGGUAUGACCUCAGUGUCGAGCCUGAAUGUCUGUGUAGGUGCAGGUGGUGAGAUGGGCUGAUGCAAUAGGAUACAGGCAGCUGCUGAAAGCUGGUGUUCCCUGUCUGGCUCAGGCAGGCUCCUUCCUCGAGUAAGGCCUGUAGCACCAUGGCUGCUGUGAUAGAAGAUGAUUGAGAAAGUAAUAAUUAUAGAUGGUGCUCUUGGAGGGGCUGCUUUCCCCAGGUACUGCUCUGUAUGAGCACUAAAGACCUGUGAUGCCGUGAGAUGGGUGUUGAUCAGGUGUGUGGUGUGCACAGCUCCCAAGUUUUUAAGUGGAAGCACAGAAUGAAUAGGGAGACUUGUAAAACAGAACAGAUUUGCCCUGCAUUUCCAGUAGUAUUUAGGAGUUAUUAAGAUCUUACUCAUUUAAAGUACUCUCAGGCUUCUCAGUCCAUGUGAAUCCAUCUGCUGUAGAGCAGUCAUCCCAUAAAGAUGCGUUCACAUGUGGCAGCCACCUUCCUGGUUUGUUUAUAGGGCUAGAUCAAGGAUUGCCACAGAAAGUUCUAUGCUCCAGCUGAAGAAAGCAGGAUUAGGUUGUUAUUCUGUAGUAGUUCAGCACUAGAGGGGGAUGUAGCAUGUGCUUUCCAGCACAUUUCAUAAGUCCAUGCAACAAUAUUUUACAGCAGUAUUUAUGAGGAGGCUGUUUUUUUAAUUGCUGACAUGAAGAUUUUUUUUCUCUUGCAGGGACAAUUUUCUUGCAUAGAAUAAAAAUCAGAGAGGCUGCUAUUUUCCAAGCCUUAAAAGACUGUGCUUGUAGCCAAUUAAUCUUGUUACAUUUAAUGUGUGUCUUGGAUAUCGGGGCCUCAGAACUUAAGGCGAUUCUCAGGUCCUUCUUUUUUUUUUUUUUUUUUUUUGUCUGACGUGAGCAAACAGCAAACAGAAGUUGUUCUUUAGCUUGGCCGUAGCUCUAGUCCAGGCUGCUGGCUGGAAGGGUCUGAGUUCUGUCCUUCUUUCCAUGGGGAUACCCCAUGUGCUGUGCCAGGGAGCUGCAGCCUGAUUGUGUCUAUGCGUCCUGCAAGGGGCUGACUGAAGACAUCAAAGCUGAAUCUACCCAACUCUGCUUGCUCGGAGAGCUGCACAUUUCUGUUCCCAGUAAAAAUGGCUCUUUAACUUCACAGACAUACCAGUAAUGAAAAAAAUAACCCAAAGCCAACAGUUGUCUGCUUCACACACGAGCAAAACGCUUUGCCAAAAAUGCUGCUGCCUUGUGGAGGUUUUACAAAAGCUGGACAAAUCCCUGUUCUUAUUUUUUCCUUGUCUCCAGUGAGCAGUUCUCAUACCACUCAUACUCCACUGUGCAGGAGUGUGUCAUUGUGGGGAGGUGACUUGCUAGCCUGUGAGCCCAGGGAAUUUCCCGAUGCAUUUGGGUAUGGCAUCUUGGGAGAGGAGCGGUCUGGCUGGUGUGUGCCACACAUCUGCACAAACACAGCUGUAGAAGAAAGUGGGAAUGCCACUUGCCGAAGAAAACCUGCAUUCAGGCCAGUGGGUACAGACUCUUACAGAUCCAAGUUCUGUUGGUUUGCUGUCUAUGGGAGCCCUUGGUAUACAGCUCCAUAUCCUUCUCUCCUUCUUGUACCCUGGACAUUGCACGGGGCUGUGGUUCCCACCUCGUGCUGAGGGCAAUGUUGGCUAGCCAGAAAAGAUGUUCCCAUUCACAUUUCCACAUAGAAACUUUUCUUCCCCUACUUUUAGUGCCUGUAAUUACCUCUUUACUCCAGUGCCAGCAAUCUUCCAUCAGGCAUCAUUAUUAACAGAGAGAAAAGAGAAGGGGGGAGAGAGAGCACCACAAAACUUAAUUUAAUCGCAGCACCCCAUGCUCAAUUUAACAGACACAACAGCUCAGAAUGGGGUCCCUGUGCAACGGGAGGGCAGGCAGUGGAGUGUCCCUGGAAAGAAUUAAUUGUGGAUGACAACGUGUAAACAGUGCGGAUGAAUAGGGCACGCAGGUGUGAGGCACCGGGGCCAUCCCGAGGACUUUUUCACACGAAUUUCAGCUCCUUCACUGCUGACCUGCUCCCGAAAACGUGAUUAGUGUCGGCGUUGGGAAACCAUUCAGGGUGUCAGGAUUUGGCACAUAUUAACUAGCCCUGGGGGAGAGGGGAGGGAGUGCAUGGGGGCUAUGAAAGAAGGAAGUCUGGCGGACAAGGGGAUUGUUAAAAGGCCAGAAAAUCCUCAUUGCUCCGAGAUGCCCUCUCUGCUUGGAGCAAAAUGGAAGGGAGUCGAAGCAGAAUAGAAGUCUGAGGCAUCCUAGCCCUAACUGAGCUGUGUGGAAAACAAGGCAUUGCAUCGUGGAAUAUUUUUCUUUUGGUGUCCAUCAUAAAUAUUGAUGAUGUUUAUAUUACUGACUUUUUCUUGGCUGUAGCUUUCACAGUUCUAGACACUUCAGCUCAAGAGAUAAACAGUCAAAACAAGCAGGAAAAUUAAUGACACAGCAGCACUGAGAACAGGAAAUAUCUCCUGGGUAACAUAUGGAUGUUAUUCAGCGUGCAAAAAUCCCCCUUCAUCAAUACGUACUCUAUAUGUAAGGUGAUACAUACAGACAGAGGGCUGUAUAAUGGGCCCAAUUUACCAAGCACGGGGCUAGACACUCUUAAAUUAUGUUUUCCAUGCCAGCCCAGCCUUCUGCAUCCAAAUGGAGGAUAGAAGUGUAAAGAGGACAUAAGGUUACUGAUCAUUUUUUCCCCACUUGGCAGAAGGAUGUGAGGAGAAGGGCAGAACAUGAGGUCUACCACGAAUACCAGUGCCUCUGCUUGACUGUUACGCUCUUUAUCCCUUGCUGGGAACCCUUUUGCUGCCUGUGUUGAGACUUGGGCAGCAUGGCAGGGCUACUGUGCAGAUGCCUGCUGAGAUUCCCAGCCUUGCUGGGAAUCCCCUCGACUGCUGCAGCCCAAAAGCUCCAGCUUCACCUAAUAUAGCAAUAAUAAAAGUUAUUCUAACUGCAAACAUACCUGUGGAUGUCAAGGUGAGGCUGAAUUCUUGAUGACCUGGUGAAGAAAAACGGGUAUUGCCACUGGUACUGGUCUGUCAGUGCGGAGAGCUGUGCGGGAUGCAGAGUGGACCAGCUUCUUGCUAGGUUGUUUCGGCUUGAAGAGAUGAAGUAGGUGGUGAGGAGGGGACAUUAAAUAUCAGCACAGAAACCAUGAAGGCCAGUAUGCCCAGUAGAAAUCUCAUUUCAAAUUCAGACUUGAACUUAGUUAAUUGCUGUUGGAAAAUUAGCUACUUAUCUUGUUCAGUAACCCACACAUAUGCGACAGACUAGUUCAUCAUCCUUUUGAGGAAAGGCUGUGGCUAUCGCUGCCUUCAAGGGGUGUUGUGGGGCUGAGGUUAAAUGGGGAAUUACCAUGCUCGAGCAGUGGAAGUUUUGCCUUUGGUUCUGAUUGUGGCAACUGUAGAUGACUUUUCUGGUAAAUCACAGCAACGAUUGUGUGGGAAGUCUAUAAGUGUUAGUGUGACCUGGCAACGCUUGUGUGCUCAGCUAAAUCAUUAGCAUAAGGGGAAAACUUGUUUGCUGCUAAGCCAAAUGAUAUCUUGAUUCAUAAGAAACAAGAAAUAGUGACACAGGCUUUAUUCAGUGCACAUCUGGGGGAGUUCAGUCCUGCAGCUCUUGAGAUGGGACCCUCUCUGCAUAACAAGCUUCCCAAAAGCUGGAUACCCAGUUGAAGCCACUCAUCUUGAUUCCCUCUGGGAAUCCAGAGGGUGCAGCAUCUCACUUGUCUUACAUGCCAUCAACAGGAAUGAAUGACAGUUACUGCAUUGCAACCUGCUUGACUGACUGCUGUUUCCAAAAAUGAUUAUCAGUGCUACUGUUAUUUCUUCCCAUGGUCUGUCCCCCAUCAGAUGUUCCCCUCUCCCUGCACCAAGACAUCUGCCCUCUAGAGUGCAGCUACUCUUGGGAAAGCUGAUGCUCAAAGGACUUUUUUCCUAUGAACUGUGCACAGCAGGUCUUUUAAAAACCAUUACAGAAGUAAGUUAAUUAUGUAAUGGGUGUUCUUGCCAAGGUGAAUGUGAUGUUUUUCAGGAGAGUGAAUUAGCCUUGUUGCCCGAGACAAAUUCCAAGAUAUUGGCUUCCUGCAGUUUUCAGGAAAGUGUGUUUCAUUAGCUGCAAUAUGGCUGUUUCUCAGAAUUCUGAGUUCGAUGUGGUGGUGCCUGUGUUUGGCCAAGUGCUCCUUAUGCUUUCAAAGCCCUUUUUUUGUUUGUUUUUCUUUUCCCCAUCAUUUGCAUGGAGUCAUUAUUUUGAGAGGCAUUUGCUCAUAUUUUCACUUUUGCUUUUCUUUGAGGAAGAGUAAUGUGCUCGUCAUCUCACCAGUUGGACAGCAGAUAAUUUACGCACUGGAAGGAAGUGGUCUGCAGAGGUCAAGGAGAUCAGCUCCCCAGACAACUGACCUAUGGACUCUUGCAGGCAACGAAGGACUGUCUCCAGGCAGGCUUUGUGUAUCCUACAGUAGGAGCAAACUGGACCUUAACUGAUACACCAACAAAGACUGUUUUAUCAGAAAGGCUGUAAUACUUCAUCAGCUAGAGGACCCAAGAAAUGUUCUUCAUUUAUACUUACAUGUAUCACUGGAUCUUCACCUGCACUAUAAUUAAGGUUCUACCAUCUGUCCAUGGCCCUGCCAUAACUCCCUGUGGGAAGCUUUCCUUGGGGCCAUCCCACCACGACAAUGCUGAAGCCCUAAGGCACUCCGGUUCAGAGCUGUGUGGAUAGCAGGACCAUUCUGGUUUGUUUGUGGACCUUGGUCCUAGCUGAAGAAACUGGUGCACACCAGCUCAUCAGCUCUGCUGAUGUUUGCCAGAUGAGGACUGAACUAAAAUGCUGAUUUUUCAUUACUCUGUACAUUUUUUUGUGCAAGAUCUUGCUUUACAGCUAUAGAACCAAGGAAGGCUCUGUUGAGUUGCCUUAGAUCAAGAAUGGAAGAGAUGAGGCUCAUGGGAGGUUGAUAAUUUGCAAGCAGUGAAAAUGGGACAACUGAAGAAACUGAGGAUGUCUCCCCAAUCAGUUGUGUUAAACUUAAGACCAUAGCUGUAGCUUGAAUUUUUCACAGAAUCCUCACAGCACUCCAAACUGCAAUUGCGUAUGAAAUAUGCUCAUGUGGUGACAAUGUGCCCUUUCUUGUAGGUUCUCCAAUAAGUGCAAAUGUUCUCAGGCUUACUGAGAAACCAGUGCAAGGAGGGACUCAGGGAUAUUUAGAAGUCAUAUAUGGAUGUACCUCUUCUCCAGCGAGCACCACUGCUGUUUGUGGUACUUAGCAUGGAAUCAGGUCCUGGGCAGGGUGGUGGAGAAGAGGCUGGGCUGCUAGGCACUGUGACCUUUGCAAAGGUGCUGAUGGAGUUCUGGUGCAGACAGGAAGAUCUGCUGCCAUCACAGGAUGCAGGAACCAUUGCAUACAAGCUCAUUGUGGCUGUGGAUUAAGUGAUGGAUUUACCUGCAAAAGUAUGAACAGUUUACAUCAGAAUUCCUGAUGAUAUUAUUAAAUUAUGGUGGCGUUUAUGUUGCUUUUCUUGUCACUGCUUUUUUCUGACACGAGCUGACCUUUCUCAAGCUUACCAGCUUGUUGACUGAGCCUAGACCCACAUGUCCCCUGAGCCAUGUCUUCAGGUCCAUCCCAUUGGUUAACCAGCAGAAGAGCUCUGCUCUGGAAGCAGACGUGACUGCGAAUGAACUUGUCUGCCUGACAUUUCUCUUUUAUAUGAGAAGGGAGCUUGAUGUGACAAAAGGAGAAACCUACCCUUCCCCCCAAACCAGGGCAAAAAUAUCUAAAUUUCUCCAUAACAGUGGGGAAAAAAAAAAUCCUAGGGUGGCCAAAAAGGGUGUUGCUUAAAAUGAAAUAAAAAUGCAACUGGAUAAGUAGUUCAAAUUGUGGAGAAUUCUUCAUGGUGGUUCCCUUUGCCAACUGUAGUAGAGGUCCUCAGCUAUUACCUUCUUUCUCACAAAUGCUUCUGCAGUGGAUGUUGGUUAUCAUAUCUGACGAAUAUGAUGAUAGACUUGAGUCCGGCUUUGCAUGUUUCUGUUCUGCAAGAGAGCAUUCAGCAAAAUACUUGGCUUAUUUCACCCCUGCCAGUGUCUUGGCAACCCUGAAGUUUCCCAGAGUGAUCUUAGAUACAGAAUCUCAGUAACUUAUUUUCCUUGUAGUGAGGCUGGAGCAAAAGCUGCCUUCAGAAGAAGUUAUGGCGGAGGGCAAGGAAACAGGAGCUCUGGAGUGAGAGAGAGCUGUCUGCCCUAGGAAAGAAGAGCUGAAGUUCAGAGUGCUGAGGACUUCUGUCUUCUCUACACAAAGUCCAAGCUAGAACAAAGUCUAGACGUGCCAGGGGCAAGACACCUGGGAAUAUGGAGGAAAGGCCGUGAUGAAAAAUUCACUGCUCAAUAUGCAGGCCAAGGAGAGAUGUCUCCAGGGGGUCAUUCAUCACCGUAGCUUAGCUGGUCUGCUCACAAGCUGUGCUGGUCUGGCUGCAGGACAGAAAUGUAGUGAUACGGCAAAAACCAAUACUGAGAAAUUAUGAAAACCAAAUUCUCUGCUGAUUCACAGGUGAUCUGAGGGAUGGUGAAUGAAAUGUUGUGGUACUUGAAGUCAAAAUGUGUUUCUUUUAAUUUGGAAAUGGGUUGACUAAUUUUGGUAAAAUAAGACUCUAUCAAACAUUCAGCCAAAUCUCAGAUUAAGUAAAUUCUGAGUAACUUGCUUUUCAUGACGUGUUUUUGAAGUCCGCAUUUAUAGUUUCUGCUGGGAGAGCUUGCAGAAUUGCUACAUAUCACUUCAGAGACAGUCUUGUUGCAUAUUUUGUAUUUCCUAACUGGUGUCUUUGCUAAAGCAGAGAAGAGGGAAUACUGAUUUCUCAGUGCAAAUAGUUAUCCUGGAAGACACUUUUAUUGGCUGUAGACCAUAAGUUUGAAGGUAGACAAGGCAUUUUCUUUAGUUACAAGAGCUUUUCUGUAUUAACUGAACUGAAAACCAAAAAAACCCAGGAACCCUCUAAAUCCUAUCUGUUACACAGCAGCAGCCAGUUGCUAUGGCCAUCUGACCUGGAACAGGCACCAGCAUGGUGAUGCUGGGAUGUUCCGUCUGCCCAUCCAGGUGUUUGCUUGCCAGCAAGUGAAAGCACCUCCCCUGCACUCAGGGCCUCUGCCUGGGGUAGAUGCAGGUCUGACUCUGAUGGCAUGGCCAGAAACACAGGGUUUGGUUUGUUGUCUGGCUUCAGCUCUGGUGAGCAAGUGUAGGGCUGCUGGAGAAAUGCCCCCAAACAGCUUCAGCCACACAAAUUGCAUAUCCUUUUAUCCAUUUCUGUGUUUCUUGACUCCCUCUUUGACACUCCUACAUCUCCCUUUUCCUCGAUCAAGAAAGACAAGCUGCACCUAACUGCUUUUCCUUAUUAGCCCUGGUUUUGCCAUAUCCAUACCUGAAUUUGGCAUUUCUGAUACUGCCAGCCAGGUUAUCUCAGCCUUGCGUGCUAUUACAGGUAUUGUUACCGGGCACACUGGCCUGGCAAGGUCCUGUUUCCCAGAAUGUCCCCAGUGUUCCGCUCCAGCUAUCUGUGUGGUUUGGCUGUUGCUCACACACCUCCCCCUUAACCACUUGAGGGAUCCAGCCAGCCCUGACAGCACUGUCUGUAGCUUCUGCCAGCUUCUCACAAUAUUCCCUCUCACAUCCAGCUUUCCACAUGUCACAUCCACUCGCACGUCUAUUGGCUUCCACACCCUUACCAGGUAACGCAACCUCAUGCUGGGGCCCAGCUGACAGCCUGGUGUCUGCAGUGCUAUCCUCAUCUUCCAGGGUGCAGCAUUAUUAUUAUUUGUUUGUAAGUUAUCUAUAUGAAGACUAUUAAUGUAUUUAUUUGACAGUGUAAAUCUAAGUCAUUACUGAAAAGUCUUGCCUAUAUGAAGAUAUAUGAUAAGAAAGUCAAGGCAGAUGUCACCUCUGAGCAGUUUUAUGUUCAGCUUUCCAGCUAAUGCCAAAACCCAAGGCUGUUUAAUAACAAAGCAGACUCAAAGAAGGUGGUCGUGAAAUGUUUGUGGAUGUUCUUGCAUGUUCCUUGGCAAGUCUACGGUAUCACCUCUAGUACCUCGAGGGUGGUGAAACGAUUCAGCUUGGUUGUUUCUUUCACACCUUCAAGAAUGUGUGAGGUGUCAUUUUGGAUCUGCUAAGGAUACUGGAUGUCUGCCCAAACCAAAAUGCUGGCCAUGGGAACAGUUGAAGUCCUUAUGAGAGAGACUUGGGGAAGAGAAGGUGAAAGCAGCCAAUGGCCAAAGGGAAAAGCACUUGUGAGAUGCUCCUUCUGUCUCUGCCCUACUCCUGGCACUCCAAUUUUGCAUCUCUCCUGAGCCCCAGUGGAACCGGUUCCUCCUGGCCAGCCGAGGACAGGAGGAUAUCUUCUCUCCUCAGAGGUGCUGGGCAAGGUGAAGCCCCCUGCAGCUGUGCUGCUCACUCCCAAGAGGGCCACGUUGCCGGGGGUAAAGUCCUGCUGGGAUGGCUGCCAUGGCUCAGCAGUUGCUGCUGCUCCACUUAGCUCCAGCUCCCACCAGUGACCGCAGAUCCCUGCCUGGCACUGCUGAGCUCUUUGUGUCCUGGGGGGCUGGAACACCUGGGGAAAGACCCUUUACAAGACUGAUUCUCUUGGAUCUUGAGCAUUAGCACUACAAAAUAUUGUAAUAAGGUAAAGAGCUUGCUCUGAAGCCACAGGUGUGGCAAAUGAGUAGGGAACCCACACCUGAGGGGAAGGGAUCUAGUUCAGGCUACUGUUUUCUGCCUUGAGAACUGAGACUAUCCAGCUGUGAUUACUCACUGGGUUUCUAUCCAUCCAUAGGCUACAAAUGGAUUGCAACAGCAUCACAGGUUAAUCUUGCUGCAGUCUAAACAUCUGCUCAUUUAGGCCUACAGAAUAUGAGCUCUUUAGGUACAAAUCACCUGUUUGUCCUCUGUUUGCAUGGCAAGAUCUUGGCCUGUGAUUAUUUCACCGAAGUGUUGGACUACUCAGUCUUCCAAGUAAGAAUAAGAUAAUUUACAUCAGCUACCUAGAAAACCCAGAGAAAUAGGAAUUUUUUUUUGGAGAAGCAGAUUAUGUUUAGAGAGGGAGACACUGAAAUACCUGAAAACACCUACUAACAGAAAUACACAGAAACCUCUGUUUAAUAGCACCAGAGUCCCAUUCUGGGCACCUUUGUCUUCUUUUGCAUGUAUGAAACGUGAAGUAUUUGGCUAGUUCCCAACUGAGAUUGCACACCCAGGAUUUCACCCAGCUUCUCCACUCCAGUUGUGUACACAGCUUUACUGGCUUUGCCAACAAAGGCACUGAUGAGGUGUGCAGCCUUGGCUGAUGCUACUGCUGGGCCCUAAACAUUUGAGAGGUUGGUUGUUGGUGGCCACAGUCUGGUAAGGCUGCAGAAAGUUUGGCUGAAAAUGUUUUCUGAGAAAUGUACAAGUAGUAUUCUGACAGUAUAUACGUACAUGCUGUUCUCUGCUGCUCUGCCAGCUAGCUUUCCUUUGAUGCAUGGUGCCUGACAAUGAGUCUCCAUCUUUGGGUCAUGUUCAGGAGACAUCACUAUUGCAGACAAUUAGAGAUGCCAUUUUACAGUGGACCUGCUGGCUUAGACAGGUAUUCAGGGGUCAAACCAAGAGACCAGUGUCAGCAUCUGACUUGGCUGGUUCUGCCAGGCCUGAGACAGGCCCACAGGUACCCCUACCAGUGAUGCUCUAUCUGUAUUUUGGAGGCCAGAAGGAACUUCUAGGCUGAUUCAGUCAUCAGAGGGUCACCCCACCAUUAGUAAAAUGAGGUGAAUUGCACAUGUAAGUGGGGAAUGGCUGUGUCUUGCUGCUUAUGGUGGAGGGCAGUGAGGAAGCACUAUGCUGGGGAGCUGCCAGGUGAAUAAACUCUUUCUGUAGCUCAAAGGUGCAGAGAGGCCUAUGGUUCUAAUAUAAUGACCGGCCUAAAGCUAUUUUUAGCAAAUGGAGAGCACCCAGAAAGCUUUGUUUCAAGCCUGUAGCUUGAACUUGUGCUUUGGGGAUGACCUGCAUAGCCUAGAGGCAAUAGAGGAUCUUCACAGGAGUGGGGAAGGUCCUGUGCCUCCAGUCAGUCCAUGCACCCACAUGGUUGUUGUCACCAUCACCUACUUGCCCUUUCUUCAACAAGCAGCUAAGUGGAAGGGAGGCCUCUUUGACUGCUGGAGUGGCGUGGGAGUGUAUUCCUCCUGCAACCCAGGAGCAUGUCCGCACACCUUCAUGGACUGUGUGGGUCAGGAAGAACCUGUGUAAUGAGCAUACUUCAGGAGACUGGAAGUUCUGAGGAGAUCACAGAUAUGCCCCCAGGAGGUCUUCUCUUUAAGUCAAGUUGCAUGUGCUGUGAGGACUCAUUUUCUCAGCAGGGGUGGGAGCAGCCUUUGGCAGAGCUGUCAUAUGCAUGGGGCUCUGGCACCCACCUGCAGUGCAGUUAACGUAGGUCUUUGUAUCUGGGAGAUGUUUACACACACACACACAGGAGGGGUGCUUGUACACAAAUCUAUCUAUCUAUCUAUCUAUCUAUCUAUCUAUCUAUCUAUCUAUCUAUCUAUAUCUUAUGUGGCUGUGUUUCUUUGAACUGAUUCAGUAUCCGACUGAAGUGAAUGGGAGCUGUGUGAAGCCUACAAGCCUACUCAUGGGAGUACCAAUUUGCACGAGCAUAUCUUUGUUUUUGAAGCAGGCUACUGUUCUCAGCAGACUGCAGACUUUUCCUCAUCUCCUUUUGUAUUUUUCAGUAUGAAAACACUGCAUAUGCUUUUCCUCUCUGAAGUCUUCCCUUGCAAUGCAAGACACUCAUCUCUGUCAGUGUUCAGCACCUGAGGAAGCAAAUGGAAAGCAGUGGGGACCAAUGGUGCUCAGCACUCUGCUGGGAAGUCUUCUGGAUCAGCCCCAUAAGCUGUGGUCUCUCUUCCUGCUCUCUGCUUCAUCCCCAGUGUGUAUUACACUUGCCCCAGCUUUGCAGAGAUAAUUUGCACUCUCCUAGUUCAUUAGCUGCUACCCCCUCCUGUCUAUGGGCAAAAAAAAGCCCUUACUGUUCAAAAGAACACAUGCAGCAAUCAUUAAUGCUGACCCUAAUUGUGCCAAUUCAAACCACUCAAUAGCUCUAAUUAAAACUUCUCUUGUGCAGGGCACUGAACAGUAACAAAACUGUCACCCCGAACAAUCAAAUCAUGGAGCUAAGAUUUUUUUUUUCCCCCUGUUGUGUUCAAAUGUUGUUACUGCUGUCAGAAGGGUCAUCUGAAGGGAUUAAGUAUGGGGCUUUUGUAGGCUGCAAAGGCGGGGGGAAUAUCUAAACCCAACCAAUAUCUUUUGGUCACAGUUUGAAAUCAGAAGACCCCAACUCUUUUCCAGGUCUCCUUUCAUCCCCUUUACCCACCCCCACGCAGCAAGCAACACCUGCAAAGUAGACAGGCUCUUGGUUAUGAGACACAUGGACACCACAAGUCAACUUAAACAUCUGCAAAGGAGGGGGUGAGGGGGAAACCCAGGCGUUCCUAUCCCUACAACCUCGUUUCUCAGGGUCCCUGACUACACUUUCCUGUGCACCAUAAAUAACUCUGCAAUUACAUUAAUUGGUUGCAUAUUUGUUGACACAGGGGUGGACAAGGGUAGGUUACGGUGGGAGGAUUUUUGCUUUCAGUGCAAUUUUAUACUACUUUCUUCAGAUGUCCCUUAAUCCCUACUCUCCCCUCCCCCAUUAUUUAGGAUUCGCAUGUCUUCCAGAAUAACUUUAUAAGCCUGUGGG